CUAAUGUCCCCCGGACAUAUGCAGUGUACCCUUCGUCCCCUAAGGCCAUAUUGCUAAAAAGUUCUCUAACUAGGCCGGGGUAGGUCGAGGUAUUUAGGGUACAAAGGUGCUCCCACCCUUGGGCUCGGAGUCUCUCUCCAAUAGAGAACCCCUCAUGAUCUAAAAAUGAGAAAUCUAUGUACCUUCCGGUCGUGACUGUGCGAUUUGCACAGGAAAUAGUCGUGGUUGGUGGAGCAACCGGAGGAGACGGCGGGGAAUGUUCUUCCCUCCGUUCCUCAUCGUCGGCCGCUGCCCUAGGUCGCCUUCCACGGGUUGUCCUAGCUCUUUUGGGUGCCAUGAUUGGAAAUCCUAAGAAAAAGUGGAGAAGGAGGCUAGGGUUUGUGAUGGAGAACAAAUGGAGGCUAGGGUUUUCGUUUUUGGUCGGGGAUGAGAGAAGAUAGCUCGGGUCGGCUCGAGCUGUUUCACUUAUUUUAAAAACCCUAGUUCGGUCCCCGAGACGUCUCCGCGACUAAGGCGAGACGUCUC
rnacentral:lncRNA from 1 species